rnacentral:tRNA from 1 species
UCCCUGGAGGACUAGUGGUUAGGCCACGGUGCUCUCACCGCCGUGGCCUGGGUUCGAUUCCUGGCCAGGGAA